rnacentral:lncRNA from 1 species
AUAAAAGCACUGUGUUGUGUGGUGCAUAACAUUUCCACAUGUUUUUGUUUUGUUUUUUUCAGAUCGCCUGAUAGGCUUGCCAGAGGGGCGUGCUCGCAAUCACAAUCGACCGCAACAAAUCCCUGUCCUGGCUGGAGUAAUCAUAGAAGAUGUGGCAGUUGGAGCUGAACACACACUUGCUUUGGCAUCAAAUGGAGAUGUGUAUGCCUGGGGGAGCAAUUCAGAAGGGCAGCUCGGCUUAGGCCAUACCAACCAUGUUCGAGAACCAACCCUGGUAACAGGUCUGCAAGGGAAAAAUGUUCGGCAGAUCUCGGCUGGCCGCUGCCACAGUGCUGCAUGGACAGCACCACCUGUCCCACCAAGAGCACCAGGUGUGUCAGUACCUCUGCAGCUGGGCCUGCCUGACACAGUGCCCCCCCAGUAUGGGGCGCUGAGAGAAGUCAGCAUUCACACGGUGCGGGCCAGGCUCCGGCUGCUCUACCACUUCUCUGACCUCAUGUACUCAUCCUGGAGACUGCUGAACCUUAGCCCCAACAACCAGAACAGCACAUCCCAUUAUAAUGCUGGAACUUGGGGCAUUGUACAGGG